GAUGAACGCUAGCGACAGGCCUAACACAUGCAAGUCGAGGGGCAUCGGGGCGUAGCAAUACGCUGCCGGCGACCGGCGGAUGGGUGAGUAACGCGUAUGCAACCUACCUUCAGCAGGGGGAUAGCCCGUUGAAAGACGGAUUAAUACCCCAUAACACAGGGGCUCCGCAUGGAGAUUAUUGUUAAAGGGAUGCUUCCUUCGGGGAGUAUCCGGCUGCAGAUGGGCAUGCGUUCCAUUAGGUAGUUGGUUGAGGUAACGGCUCACCAAGCCUACGAUGGAUAGGGGAACUGAGAGGUUGGUCCCCCACACUGGUACUGAGACACGGACCAGACUCCUACGGGAGGCAGCAGUGAGGAAUCUUGGUCAAUGGACGGAAGUCUGAACCAGCCAUGUCGCGUGAAGGAGGACGGCCCUAAGGGUUGUAAACUUCUUUUGCAGGGGAAUAAAGUAUUCUACGAGAUGGGAUAUUGCAAGUACGCUGCGAAUAAGGAUCGGCUAACU
rnacentral:rRNA from 1 species